UAUUGACAUGCAUAAUUUACAAAGUAUUUUGUUAGGCUUUUUAUCUCUGAGUAAUUUUUAUUUCUCCCCCAUCUGGUCUGAAAAGACGUAAAAGGAUCGCUCCCUGUGGAUGACAACGUACCCUCUUACGAGAAUCGUGAUGUUAUAUUACUGUAGGGGUCACCUUUGGCAAAGUAUGACCGUGGCCAUAGAUUACCUAAUAGGAUCACUAUGGUUGACACAACCGUGGUUAUAGAUCGUGUCAUGGUUUGGUAUGCCGCAAAUGGAAUGUUGGUUUAACAAGCCAUAAAUUGUUGUUAUCACUGAACUGGUCGUUCCACAUGGGUACUCGAAAAUCUGUACUGCUCACAGUAGAUGGAAGUCAGAAUGACUUCGCAAAGUA
rnacentral:lncRNA from 1 species